UACGGAGGGUGCAAGCGUUAUCCGGAUUCACUGGGUUUAAAGGGUGCGUAGGUGGGCAGGUAAGUCAGUGGUGAAAUCUCCGGGCUUAACCCGGAAACUGCCGUUGAUACUAUCUGUCUUGAAUGUAGUGGAGGUGAGCGGAAUAUGUCAUGUAGCGGUGAAAUGCUUAGAUAUGACAUAGAACAUCGAUUGCGAAGGCAGCUCGCUACACUAUUAUUGACACUGAGGCACGAAAGCGUGGGUAGCAAACAGG
rnacentral:rRNA from 1 species